UAUGUGUAAUUAUUUAAGGUGAACACACUAUGUCGUGUAGAACCAUUUUGAAAUACAUGCUCAAUGUGUAGUUUGAAAAAGUUAUGUCAGAUUUCGUGCUUGAAUCCGGUUGUUUUUCUUUCAUCAAUAUGGAAUUCAAAACAGUGUGUAAACCUUGCUGGACUGCAUUACGAUUUCUGACUAUGUAAUUAAGCAAGAUGGGUUCAAUCAACCGAGACCUGAUUACUGAAAACGCUAGACUGAAAGACUGUGUAUGCUGUUCGAGAUGCCGGGUUAGCUAUAAAAAUGUCUUGUUUGUGCCGUGCUGCCAUCUUUUGAUGUGCAUGCGAUGCUCUGCUCGCUUUAGGGUUUGUCCGGAAUGCAACACCAAUAUCGAAGACCGAAUCAUAGCAAUACUGACACCAUUGAUCGAGACAAUUUACAGUGAAAACGCACGAUUGAAGUCUGAGCUAUACUGCAAUCAAUGCAAAGUUCAAAAGACUGACGCCCUCUUCUUCCCAUGCCAUCAUCAUUUGUUGUGCAUGAGCUGUGCAAAGAAUUUGAACAUUUGCAUCGCUUGCAAAACGAAAAUCGACAGUGUGAAGCAGACAAUAAUGCCUUAAGGAGCACACGGUGUAUGAAUGAAAAAGAGUUGCAGAAAUUUGCAUUUGUUUCUAACGUACUAACAUACAUAUGCAUUGAAUUGGACUACAUUUAAAGCGCUCUUUAUUUUUUUCCAUAAAUAAUAAUAUUAUACUCAGUACAAAUAGGAAAGUAAAUUUUUGCAAUAGUUUUUUUGCUUUUGUUCGAAAAGAAGCAUUUCUACAUGUUUGGAGCUUGUUUAUGUGUAUUUUGGUGUCUUAUUCAUUACAUCCUUGUAAUGUGCAUAACUGAUAUGUUUUGAUGAAUCUUAUGACGCGUUAACACGGUCUCGACUCCGGGUCUUCAAUGGCUAUUUGUUUUGACCAAAUAGAAGACGUUGUCUUCCUUGCUGACAGACAGUCUGUAACGCUGAAAUGAUUCCGAAACUUAGCCCUUAAGGGAUAACAUGUCUAUCUUGUUUUAUAUUGUUAUUUAAAAUGUUAAAUGUUUGUACACUUUGCAUGCUUUAAAAAGCAAUGCGUGGUGGAAUCUAGUGAAGCGAUUAUGUAUGCGCGGAAUGGUUCUACCAUCUUGCUUUUUGUUAAUUAUUCAGGCAUUUGUUGCGCAAAUACUGCUUAUUAAUACGGUUAAUACGGUUUGCAGACAUAUGUUUGAAGCUUGUUAAUGUCUAUUUUGGUUUCUUAUUAAUUACGUCCUUGUAAUUUGCAUAAAUGAUAUGUUUUGUAGAAUCUUAUGACGGGAUAAUACGGUCUCCAAUGCAGGUCUUCAAACCAUUGCUAUGUUUUGUUUUACAUAUAGCUGUGAUACGGCUAUUUGUUUCGACCAAAUAGAUCACGCGUGUCUUCCUUGCUGAAAUGAAUACUACAUCUAUAAAUUAAUUAAAUAAUUGAGGACAAACUGAUUACGCACACAGACCGUCUUUAACGCUGAAAUGAUACUAAAGUGUAAGCGCUUAAGGGAUACCAUGACCAUCUUGUUUUAUAUUGUUAUUUAAAUGUCACAUGUUUGUACACUUUGCAUGUUGUAAAAGCAAUUUAUAGUGGAGUCUUGUGAAGCGAUUAUAUAAUUGCGGAUUGAUUCCACAAUGUUGCUUUUGUUAACAAUUCAGCCAUUGGUUUUGGAAAAUAUUUUUUAUUGAUAUAUAUAAAAUAUAAUUCUUACUAUAUUUGCAAGGUUAUUUAUAAAGUUAAGACGCCCUGGUAAAACAUGACUGUAUGCAUGUGCGUACUUUCCGCUUGUAUGGUAUCUUUUAAAUGUAGUAUCUUCUUAAAGAACUUCCAUUAUAGGCGAAAAGCGUCGCACUUGAUUAGCAUGUGGGUACUGCAGAGUCUAAUCUCGGACAAUACUUUCCGCACAUGCAUUAAACCCCGUUUUCAGGAAGGGAGGCUUAAUCCUUUUUUAUUUGAUUCGAUGUUUUGAAACGUGACAAUGUCAACUCAGAUGCACACCUUUAUGGUUUGAUUCCUACACAUCCGUACGCCAAAAUGUACACAUUUUAUUGAUACGGUUUGCAGACGCAUGUUUGGAGCUUGUUUAUGUGUAUUUUGGUGUCUUAUUCAUUACAUCCUUGUAAUGUGCAUAACUGAUAUGUUUUGAUGAAUCUUAUGACGCGUUAUUACGGUCUCGACUGCGGGUCUUCAAUGGCUAUUUGUUUUGACCAAAUAGAAGACGCUUGUCUUCCUUGCUGACAGACAGUCUUUAACGCUGAAAUGUUUCCGAAACUUUGCUCUUCGCUCAUAACAUGGCUAUCUUGUUUUAUAUUGUUAUUUAAAAUGUAACAUGUUUGUACACUUCGCAUGUUUUAAAAAGCAAUGCGUGGUAGAAUCUUGUGAAGGGAUGAUAUAUGAGCGGAAUGGUUCCACAAUCUUGCUUUUGUAAAUAAUUCAGGCAUUUGUUGCGCAAAUAUUGUUUAUUGAUACGGUUUGCAGACGUAUGUGUGAAGUUUUGUUAGGUCUAUUUUGGUUUCUUAUUUAUUACAUCCUUGUAGUUUGCAUUAAUGAUAUGUUUUGUUGAAUCUUAUGACGCGGUUACACGGUCUCGAGUGCGGGUCUUCAAAUCAGCGCUAUUUUUGUUAUAAAUAUAGCUAUGAUACGGCUUUUUGUUUUGACCAUAUGAAUAACACGUGUCUUUCUUGAUGAAAUAAAUACCACAUCUAUAAAUAAAUUGCAUAAUUGAGGGACAACUUAGUACGCAAUAAGACAGUCUUUAACGCUGACAUGAUUCAAAAACUAAGGUGUAAACAAUUGAGAAAUAAAAGACUUUAUUUGGAUACGGUAUCAUGCAUUUGUAUUUAUCUCAUUUAAUGUGCAUAUACAUUUUAAAGGCUUAAUUAAAACGAUUUGUUGUUAAAACACUUCAAUUACAACAAAACGUUAAGACUUUUCCAGUAUCUUUGUUAUAUAUCAACAGAAUUAAUGCUUUAACGCUAAUCAGUUUUAUUGCGUUGUGUAUUUCUUUCUAACUUGCUUUCAACUUUGUAAUAGGGAAAUAAAAAUGCUAUUUUUACCAAUUUAUAUUGUUAUAUCGCAUAUUGAUGUUUCUGAUCAAAACAAAUAUUUAAGUAUAUUUCAUUACAGAUCUCAAUGCAACAUAUGCUCGUUGCGCAAAUGUUUAUAUAUCGCGAGUAUAGACAAUGAGUUAGAUUGCCGCACAUGCAGUUAUAACUAUGUAAUUCUGACCGAAUGAAGUUUGUGUUGUAAGAAUUUUCGAAAAAAUAAAAAAAUAAUGUGUAAAUAUGUA